UUGAAAAAUAAGGAGAUACAAAAACCCUCUUUUGCCAAAAAAAAAAAAAAAAAACCUCUGCUCAGAGGUUGUGGGCGGCGGAAAUCAUAUGGGUUGGUCGCCGUUCACGUUCACGAGGAGGAGAAGGAGGAGGAGGAUCGCAUUCCAGAAAAUCAAGUGCAGCAGGUCCUAGAUUGAGUCCUUGCCAGCAACAAGAGGAUCUUGUCCACGGUUAUCCUGGUGCUACUGCUAUCGUUGCUCGUCCAAAUUCACAUGGGUCUCUUGGUGAAUGGUGAUGAAUAUCCGUAUGAGGCCUGCCAAAGAUAUCUCGAUUACCUUUAUGAUGCAACACGUUUGUGUGGGAGCGAUUGUACCAGUGCUGUAGCAACUUGCAGUCUCGUAGAGGACUUUUGUGGUAUUAAGGUGUUACCUGAUGAGUUAGAGAAGAAGGAAGGCCACUGAUGCAGCAGCUGCAGAUCAUCCUUGAACAAGAUCCAUGACAAUGGCAUGCUCAUUGGGCUAUCAAUGACAGACAAUUAGAUAAAAUAACUUCACUUAUGAACGUACUGAUGUAGGCUCUUUCAUUUCAGUUACAACGCUCGUGCGGAAGAAAUUGUCCCUUAUGGUCAGGAUUGAGACCUUUGGUCUUGAGGUGUACCCUGAAAAGCUAUUGAAUGACUCGACUUGAACUAGCUAUAGAAUGACUUAACUUCCAGUUCUUGGGUUUGAUGUGAAGAUCCAUAACAGAGGCUUGCUCCUGGGAUUAUCAUUUAGAGAAACACAUUUUGUUUCCCAUGUGCUACUCUGAAGACGACGUUGAAAUGAUUUGACUUCAUCAAUUCAUGCCCUGUUUUAGGAAAGCUGUUUUUAGUUUGCAACUCUAGAUACUGUUUGUAAUUUGUUCUAAUUUGGUGAUUUUCACUAAAUAUAAGCUUCAAAAUGCAUU